UUAUGGCUCAGGAUGAACGCUGGCGGCGUGCAUAACACAUUCAAGUCGAACGGAGCAGCAAUGCUCAGUGGCGGACGGGUGAGUAACGCGUGAGCAACCUGCCUAUCACAGCGGGAUAACACAGGGAAACUUGUGCUAAUACCGCAUAAUAUAUACUGUCUGCAUGGGUGGUAUAUCAAAGGGUUACCGGUGAUAGAUGGGCUCGCGUCUGAUUAGAUAGUUGGUGAGGGUAACGGCCCACCAAGUCUGCGAUCAGUAGCCGGACUGAGAGGUUGAACGGCCACAUUGGAACUGAGAGACGGUCCAGACUCCUACGGGAGGCAGCAGUGGGGAAUAUUGGGCAAUGGACGAAAGUCCUGACCCAGCGACGCCGCGUGAGGGAAGAAGGUCUUCGGAUUGUAAACCUUAGUCAACAGGGAAGAAGAAAGUGACGGUACCUGUGGAGGAAGCCACGGCUAACUACGUGCCAGCCGCCGC
rnacentral:rRNA from 1 species